rnacentral:rRNA from 1 species
CUCCUAAAGAGUAACGGAGGAGCACGAAGGUUGGCUAAUCCUGGUCGGACAUCAGGAGGUUAGUGCAAUGGCAUAAGCCAGCUUGACUGCGAGCGUGACGGCGCGAGCAGGUGCGAAAGCAGGUCAUAGUGAUCCGGUGGUUCUGAAUGGAAGGGCCAUCGCUCAACGGAUAAAAGGUACUCCGGGGAUAACAGGCUGAUACCGCCCAAGAGUUCAUAUCGACGGCGGUGUUUGGCACCUCGAUGUCGGCUCAUCACAUCCUGGGGCUGAAGUAGGUCCCAAGGGUAUGGCUGUUCGCCAUUUAAAGUGGUACGCGAGCUGGGUUUAGAACGUCGUGAGACAGUUCGGUCCCUAUCUGCCGUGGGCGCUGGAGAACUGAGGGGGGCUGCUCCUAGUACGAGAGGACCGGAGUGGACGCAUCACUGGUGUUCGGGUUGUCAUGCCAAUGGCACUGCCCGGUAGCUAAAUGCGGAAGAGAUAAGUGCUGAAAGCAUCUAAGCACGAAACUUGCCCCGAGAUGAGUUCUCCCUGACUCCCUGAGAGUCCUGAAGGAACGUUGAAGACGACGACGUUGAUAGGCCGGGUGUGUAAGCGCAGCGAUGCGUUGAGCUAACCGGUACUAAUGAACCGUGAGGCUUAACCUU